rnacentral:lncRNA from 1 species
GUUAUGAAUGAUGUAGCAUGUUGUGUUUGUUAUGAAUGAUGUAGCAUGUUGUGUUAUGAAUGAUGUAGCAUGUUGUGUUAAUUAUAAAUGAUGUAGCAUGUUGUGUUUAUUAUGAAUGAUGUAGCAUGUUGUGUUUGUCAUGAAUGAUGUAGCAUGUUGUGUUUGUUAUGAAUGAUGUAGCAUGUUUUGUUUGUUAUGAAUGAUGUAGCAUGUUGUGUUUGACAUGAAUGAUGUAGCAUGUUGUGUUUGUUAUGAAUGAUGUAGCUUGUUGUGUUAUGAAUGAUGUAGUGUGUUGUGUUUGUCAUGAAUGAUGUAGCAUGUUGUGUUUGUUAUGAAUGAUGUAGCAUGUUUUGUUUGUUAUGAAUGAUGUAGCAUGUUGUGUUUGUUAUGAAUGAUGUAGCAUGUUGUGUUUGUUAUGAAUGAUGUAGCAUGUUGUGUUAUGAAUGAUGUAGCAUGUUGUGUUAAUUAUAAAUGAUGUAGCAUGUUGUGUUUAUUAUGAAUGAUGUAGCAUGUUGUGUUUGUCAUGAAUGAUGUAGCAUGUUGUGUUUGUUAUGAAUGAUGUAGCAUGUUUUGUUUGUUAUGAAUGAUGUAGCAUGUUGUGUUUGACAUGAAUGAUGUAGCAUGUUGUGUUUGUUAUGAAUGAUGUAGCUUGUUGUGUUAUGAAUGAUGUAGUGUGUUGUGUUUGUCAUGAAUGAUGUAGCAUGUUGUGUUUGUUAUGAAUGAUGUAGCAUGUUGUGUUUGUUAUGAUGUAGCAUGUUGUGUUAUGAAUGAUAUAGCAUGUUGUGUUUGUUAUGAUGUAGCAUGUUGUGUUUGUUAUGAUGUAGCAUGUUGUGUUAUGAAUGAUGUAGCAUGUUGUGUUUGUCAUGAAUGAUCUUGUUGUGUUUGUUAUGAAUGCUGUAGCUUGUUGUGUUAUGAAUGAUGUAGUGUGUUGUUAAGUAUGAUGUAUCAUGUUGUGUUUGUUAUGAAUGAUGUAGCAUGUUGUGUUAUGAAUGAUGUAACAUGUUGUGUUAUGAAUGAUGUAGCAUGUUGUGUUUGAUAUGAAUGAUGUAGCAUGUUGUGUUUGCUAUGAAUGAUGUAGCAUGUCGUGUUUGUUAUGAAUGAUGUAGCAUGUCGUGUUUGUUAUGAAUUAUGUAGCAUGUUUUGUUUGUUAUGAGUGAUGUAGCAUGUUGUGUUUGUUAUGAAUGAUGUAGCAUGUUUUGUUUGUUAUGAAUGAUGUAGCAUGUUGUGUUUGUUAUGAAUGAUGUAGCAUGUUGUGUUUGUUAUGAAUGAUGUAGCAUGUUGUGUUAUGAAUGAUGUAGCAUGUUGUGUUAAUUAUAAAUGAUGUAGCAUGUUGUGUUUAUUAUGAAUGAUGUAGCAUGUUGUGUUUGUCAUGAAUGAUGUAGCAUGUUGUGUUUGUUAUGAAUGAUGUAGCAUGUUUUGUUUGUUAUGAAUGAUGUAGCAUGUUGUGUUUGACAUGAAUGAUGUAGCAUGUUGUGUUUGUUAUGAAUGAUGUAGCUUGUUGUGUUAUGAAUGAUGUAGUGUGUUGUGUUUGUCAUGAAUGAUGUAGCAUGUUGUGUUUGUUAUGAAUGAUGUAGCAUGUUGUGUUUGUUAUGAUGUAGCAUGUUGUGUUAU